ACCCGGGCCGACCGGCCCGGGUGGACUGACGCCGGUACCUGACACGGCCGGCGCAG
rnacentral:ncRNA from 1 species